rnacentral:ncRNA from 16 species
UGUAACAAUGGUGAUGAGGUCCACCCUGAUAAUUGUCAAAACCGCUUAUGCUGAUGACUUCUACACAACU